UGAACGCUGGCGGCGUGCUUAACACAUGCAAGUCGAACGAUGAAGCCUAGCUUGCUAGGUGGAUUAGUGGCGCACGGGUGAGUAAUAUAUAGAUAAUGUGCCUCUUAGUCUGGGAUAGCCAUUGGAAACGAUGAUUAAUACUAGAUACUCCUUCUUACUCUAAUGUAAGUCGGGAAAGUUUUUUCGCUAAGAGAUCAGUCUAUAUCCCAUCAGUUAGUUGGUAGGGUAAUGGCCUACCAAGACAAUGACGGGUAGCGGGUUUGAGAGGAUGAUCCGCCACACUGGUACUGAGACACGGACCAGACUCCUACGGGAGGCAGCAGUGAGGAAUAUUGCACAAUGGGGGAAACCCUGAUGCAGCAACGCCGCGUGGAGGAUGACGCAUUUCGGUGUGUAAACUCCUUUUAUAUGUCAAGAAAAUGACGGUAGCAUAUGAAUAAGCACCGGCUAACUCC
rnacentral:rRNA from 1 species